GACGAACCGUGCGAACGUUGUUCGGAAUCACUGGGCAUAAAGGGCGCGUAGGCGGCUUAUCAAGUCAGGGGUGAAAUCCGGCAGCUCAACUGUCGAAGUGCCUUUGAUACUGAUGAGCUAGAGGGAGAUAGGGGUAUGCGGAACUUCCGGUGGAGCGGUGAAAUGCGUUGAUAUCGGAAGGAACGCCGGUGGCGAAAGGCGGCGUAC
rnacentral:rRNA from 1 species